AACCAUAGGCCAUGAAUCUGGUCUUGGGACACUGUCAGGUGGGCAGUUUGACUGGGGCGGUCGCCUCCCAAAAGGUAACGGAGGCGCGCAAAGGUUCUCUCAGUACGGUCGGAAAUCGUACGUAGAGGGUAAAGGCAAAAGAGAGCUUGAUUGCAAGACAUACAGGUCGAGCAAGGAUGAAAAUCGGACUUAGUGAUCCGGUGGUUCUGCGUGGA
rnacentral:rRNA from 1 species